AGAGUUUGAUCCUGGCUCAGGAUGAACGCUAGCUACAGGCUUAACACAUGCAAGUCGAGGGGCAGCAGGACGGUAGCUUGCUACUGUCGCUGGCGACCGGCGCACGGGUGAGUAACGCGUAUCCAACCUUCCCCUGAGUAGGGAAUAGCCCGGCGAAAGUCGGAUUAAUGCCCUAUGUUGUCCGACGAUAGCAUUUGAAUUGGAUGAAAGAUUUAUCGCUCAGGGAUGGGGAUGCGUCUGAUUAGGUUGCAGGCGGGGUAACGGCCCACCUGGCCGACGAUCAAUAGGGGUUCUGAGAGGAAGGUCCCCCACAUUGGAACUGAGACACGGUCCAAACUCCUACGGGAGGCAGCAGUGGGGAAUAUUGCACAAUGGAGGAAACUCUGAUGCAGCGAUGCCGCGUGAGGGAAGAAGGUUUUAGGAUUGUAAACCUCUGUUGACAGGGACGAUAAUGACGGUACCUGUUGAGGAAGCUCCGGCUAACUACGUGCCAGCAGCCGCGGUAAUACGUAGGGAGCGAGCGUUGUCCGGAAUUACUGGGUGUAAAGGGAGCGUAGGCGGGAUUGCAAGUCAGGUGUGAAAUGCAGGGGCUCAACCCCUGAACUGCACUUGAAACUGUAGUUCUUGAGUGAAGUAGAGGUAAGCGGAAUUCCUAGUGUAGCGGUGAAAUGCGUAGAUAUUAGGAGGAACAUCAGUGGCGAAGGCGGCUUACUGGGCUUUAACUGACGCUGAGGCUCGAAAGCGUGGGGAGCAAACAGGAUUAGAUACCCUGGUAGUCCACGCCGUAAACGAUGAUUAAUAGGUGUGGGGGGAUUGACCCCUUCCGUGCCGCAGUUAACACAAUAAGUAUCCACCCGGG
rnacentral:rRNA from 1 species